GCCUUCAUAGUUAAAUGGUAUAACAGUAAUCUUGUAAAUUACGGUCGGAAGUUCGAUUCUUUCUGAGGGCA